rnacentral:lncRNA from 1 species
GAAGUACCAUGGUUGAAGAUAAAAUGUGGUCCGAUUUCAUCAAAUUCAAUUCAGUAGCAGAUGAGACAGUAGCGUACCAGUUUAAACAAUCAUCCGCCCUAGACUGAUUUUGAAAUACUUUUGUUCCCUGGAUUCUUGCAUUUGUUUUGAUGGUUUAGCAAGAGAAAGAAGGGCAUGUUUCAAAUUUUAAAUUGUUGCCGGUUUUUCGACCAUUCUUUUAGCGGUAAUAUCGAAUAUUUUAUAAUCGUGCAAAUAUGAGAAAGCGAUCAGAAGUGGAAACAUGUGUGGUGAGGUGACUCUAGUCUGAAUCCAUUCAACACCUGACCGCUAACAGACAAACAACAGAAGGAUCGGAAACACGGUAACACUGGACAAGAUUCGUAUACGAAGACUGUAAAGGAGCUUGAUAAAGGGUCAGUAGUUAUCUGCAUAUCUUAAACAUGAUAAACGCGCUCAUAAUGGCUGGAAAUUGUUGCAAGACUACUUUUCCAGAGGUUCAGGUACCUACACGAUUCUCUAUACAGACUUGUGCCCAACGCAGAAGUCUUCGGCGUCUACUCUGAAGUGCUCAAAAGAGAACGAAAUGGCACCCAGGUUUGAAGUCUCUCAACGAGUAACCUUCCCCACAUUAACCAAGUAGUUGGCGAGGAGAAAAGUAUUUAAUAUAAAGGAGGAAAAUCAGGGAACUAGAGCCACACCAAGGGAGCUACAGCAGAGGAGGAAGCAGAAGGUCAGACAAAAAUCCAUGGCGGUGUUUAAGAUAAGGAGAUAACAUCCACAUCAUAGGUCACCAACGCUCAGCUAUUGGAGAAGAAUGUUACAACUGCCGUAAUGACCCUACAGAAAGACCUGGCCGUGGUGUAACAGGGGGUACCCUGUGUUGUGCUAGCUUACCUGAAGUGUUUAAGUUAGUUACGUGUAAGAUGCUGAUGUUGGUUAUUUAAGAUGGUUUCUCGAAGUAAACACGUGUCGUUCGCUGAAGACUAGUUUAAACCCAAAUAACUCGACAUGGCGACAGCGGGGAAAUUCCCAAUAGCCUUUAAACCGAAGAAGAAUCAGAAAAAAAAACGUAAAUAAGGGAGACCAAGCUCCAAACGAAGCCGGAAUUCAAGCUGAACAACCACAAGUAGUUGAAGAGCCCAACAAAGCUGGCGCCCACAAGUCGCCGCCCUGCACAGCAGUCCACGGUUCAACAGAUACCCAUAGCGAGUUACCGAGCUCCACCAACUGAAACAUUCCACUUUAAAUACGAAGAAUAGUCCCGCUGGAUCAAGCGUUUCGAACGAUUUCGAAAAGCGACUGGACUCGACCAAAAGGAUGGAAGUGAACUGACUGACGGCAUCGUAGUUUCAUUCAGACCAACAACUGAAGAAGCGAAGCAGUAAAGGGCGUUUGAAGUUCAUUUCGUGGUAAAGAGAAAUGUAAUAUUUGAAAGAGCGAAGUUCAACCUAAGAAGUCAACAAGUUGGUGAGUCAGUAGAUAAUUUCAUAACAGAUUUGUAUUGUCUUGCUGAAUACUGCGAAUUUGGAACACUAAGAGACGAUCUCAUGCGAGAUGGAAUCGUAGUAAGGAUAAAAGACAAAAAGCUCUCUGAACAAGUGCAACUGGAUUCUAAGUUGACUUUAGAGAAAGAUAUUACAAAAACCAGGCAGUCGGAGACAGUUAAGAGGCAGCAAACAUUUCUACAAGAAGCCAAAUCCGACCCACCACCAGCUCAUGUGGACUGUUUAUCCAAAGGAAAGGGAAAGGAUUCUAAAGAAGAUAUGAAGAAGCAAAAAAAAAA